rnacentral:rRNA from 1 species
AUUGAACGCUGGCGGCAUGCUUUACACAUGCAAGUCGAACGGUAACAGGGUGCUUGCACCGCUGACGAGUGGCGAACGGGUGAGUAAUGCGUCGGAACGUGCCGAGUAGUGGGGGAUAACGCAGCGAAAGUUGUGCUAAUACCGCAUACGUACUGAGGUAGAAAGUGGGGGACCUUCGGGCCUCACGCUAUUCGAGCGGCCGACGUCUGAUUAGCUAGUAGGUGAGGUAAAGGCUCACCUAGGCGACGAUCAGUAGCGGGUCUGAGAGGAUGAUCCGCCACACUGGGACUGGGACACGGCCCAGACUCCUACGGGAGGCAGCAGUGGGGAAUUUUGGACAAUGGGCGAAAGCCGGAUCCAGCCAUGCCGCGUGUCUGAAGAAGGCCUUCGGGUUGUAAAGGACUUUUGUACGGAACGAAACGGCUCUGGUUAAUACCCGGGGCUAAUGACGGUACCGUAAGAAUAAGCACCGGCUAACUACGUGCCAGCCGCCGCCGUAACAC